ACGGGAACAGAAUGAUUCGGCAGAAUGCCGGAAUAUCGAUUCCGGGUUGUAGCAGUGAAUUUUACAUGAAAAUUUUCCAGGCCAUUUGUUUUGCUGAAGCUCAGGAGCAGACAACAAGGCAUUAGACAUUUCCUGCAGCAGGACAAUCACUCACUUUCUACUGCUUAUCCGAACUACCCAGGUCACGGGGAGCCUGUGUCUCAGGCGUCAU